AACUGUGAGCCAAGUAAACCUCUUCUCUUUAUAAAUUACCCAGUUUCGUGUAUUUGUUUAUAGCAGUAUGAGAAGGGACUGAUACACUCACCUAAUCAAUUAUUCCCUCUCUAACCACUUCCCUCUACCCAAAUUCAUCCUCUGAUGUGCAACCAUCAAGCAUAGAUGGUAUUCUCCAAUGGGGAGUGCUUGAGUACAGAAAUUAUGUGGUCCUGUGAUCUUACUAGUGUGUUUAUUUUCUAAGCAGGGAAAUUAUUUGAGGAAGUGACCACAGAUGAAACUGUUUCCAGAUGUCUACAAAGGUUUUUGGGUUUUGUGGGGACUGAAGUACAGCAGGAAGCAGCAUAAGCAGACAGAAAGAAGCCUUAGUGUGAUUGAACGAACAUAGAGAAAGAAGAGCCAGGAACCACAGAGACAGCAAAGUAAUGGUCAGACACACAACCCUGGAGCCUGCCCAACUUGUGUACCUCUUAUUAUGUGAGAUAAUAAAAGUCUUCAUUGUGUAAA
rnacentral:lncRNA from 1 species